rnacentral:lncRNA from 1 species
CCGCGGGCCGGGGUGGGCCUGGAUUCCGCACGGGGGCGAAAUUGUGGCCUUGUUCCCGGUGGCCUUCGGCUUCGCUCUUUGGGCUGCCUCGGAACCAAGCGCGACCUGCCCUUUUCCGCGCUCUUAUUCCAAAUCGACAGGCCCAAACGGCCACCGCCUGAGCCCAGUAGAGCCCAGAUUGAGGGGUGGUUGAAGUGUCUGAGGGGAAAGGGCUGCCUGCGGGACCCCAGGCCCUGCUACCCUAAAUGCCAGGUUCAGCGUCGGGCGAAGGCUCCUUCUCCGCACUGUAUCCGAGAGAACCCCCAAGGCGCGGCAGUGCUGGCCGUCUGGGACUAGCCUCUCGCAACAGUCACGCCCGGGUCUGAGCCCGCGGAUAUCGGAUAGAGCCCACCAAAGCGUGCUCGGCGCCUGGAGCUGCAGGACUCGUGGCCCCCACCCCGGGUUCCCGAAAGCCCCCCUAUUUGUACGCACUUUCCACGCCGACCUGAAUCGACGGGAUUUCUCUGGCUGGUGUUUGAGCUGCCUGUAUCCGAAUAAAUCCAGCUCUCAAGCGUCCGGCAGGAAACGGCUCCGGGUUUGCGCGUACGCAGACGCAUCGGCCAGCGCGGGACGCGUUGUGGCUCCUCCUGUUCGUGCCGCGGCAGGUCCGGCCUCUGAGGGAGGCUAGCCCAGCAGCGCCUUUAGGCCGAACGGCCGCUCGCGGCCCGGCAGUGCCUGGCAGCUCCCAUCUCCGGCGGUAGUCGGCAACCGCUGGGCCAAGUCCGCCCGCGGCGAAAACUGAAAGCAAAUUCCGCGGCAGAUGAAGCCCGAACUUUCUUGGACGCAAGUUUGCAGUAGAGAUUCGGUGGCGGCUUUGGGAGGACAGCGCGCUAGUGUGUGCGCGCGCAAGGUGGGGCGGUGGGCGAAGAGAGCACCCGGCGGCCGAGCCUGGCCCGAGGCGAAACACUAGGGAAGGCGCCUUCCCUUCUUUAUUUCUCGCCAACUCCUCGGCUCCUGUCCGUAAAAAUAGUUUCCAAGGUGCCUCGGACGCCCAGAAUGUGUUUAUGGGGAUCGCACCAGAGAAAGGAAGGCUUUGUAAAAGUUGUAGAAAGAGCUUUGCGCAGCGUUCGCCCAGCGGGGUUCAAGAAAGCUUGGGACUAGCUCGCCUUCCCUGGGGAGGAAUAGCCAGAAAUUGGCCUGGGGAGCCCCCUGCCUAGUCCUGUCCCCUCACCUCCAACCCACGAGUAUAUAAGCUCUCGCUGCCUGCGCUGCAAACUUCUCGGCGCGGCGCCGCGGUCAGCGGGCGAGGACAGGACGCAGAGCGGGCCGGCAAGGCCGCUCCUCGGAGCUCUCAGCCCCAGCCCUGAGUGAGGCUUGCGCGGAGGUGAGAGGACGAGUGUGGUUCCCGCUCCCACUUGGCUGCCGAAACCGUCAUCGCCGACCUCCCAACUCCCGGAGCCGGCGCUUCCCCUGGGAGCGGCGGUCUUGGGGGGCUGGCGAGGGCGCAAAUUGCGCGUGCGAAGCGAAGCGCACGAGGGCGGGGGCGGCCGCGGGUCUCUCCGCGGGGCCUGUCGCCGAGCCGGCCGCGGCGGGUGAGUGAUGAGGGCAGAGAAGGGCGCCCAUAAAUCGUGAGUGUCAGGGCGAAAAACUCUCUUUAUUGUCUGUGUGAUGGAUGGGCCCGGGGACGAGACACCAAAUACUUCGUAUCGCCUUUAAAUGGGAACACAUUUUCCGCGGCCAUAAUUCAUGUUUUUUAAAUAGAAAGUUUGAAAUGUUGCCUAUAUUUCACCGGCCCUGACAUAUUUAUGAAUCGCUCCCUGCAUGCAAAUAUCAUUAUUUAAAGCGCCGGGGAGAGCUGGGGGAGGGGAGGAGGCGCAGCCCCCGGGGCGUGGGGGUGGUGAACCGGGGAAAUGCGGAUGGAAGGGGGGCCAUCUCCCUAAAGUGCGGACGACGAGGCGCGGGGAAGCCGUAUCCGGAAACUGAGCUCACUGGGGGCUCCCCUCCUGCCGCCGGACCCCCGCACCGCAGCUCCGGGAAGUUUGCGCGGCUUGGGGCCGAGGACAGUCCCCCGCCCCCUGCUAGGAGACCAAGGGGCAUUUUGCGUCCUUCUCCGAGGCUCUGAUCCGAGCCUAAACCGCCUUUUCCAAGAAGGAAGUAAAAAAAAAAGAAUUUAACAAACGCA